ACCUGGGUGGCUCAGUUGGUUGAGCAUCUGACUUCGCUCAGGUCAUGAUUUUGCAGUUGUGGGUUCAAGCCCCGCAUCGGGCU
rnacentral:tRNA from 1 species